UGCAUGACCAACGAGAAGAGCCACUACUCGGGGACGAUGAACGGCACUAUCUUCGUGGUGGCUGGCGGCGGCGGCAGCCACCUGUCGGACUACACGACGGCGAUCCCCAAGUGGAGCAUCUUCCGCGACCGGGACUUCGGGUUCGUGAAGCUCACGGCGUUCAACCACUCGUCGCUGCUGUUCGAGUACAAGAAGAGCAGCGACGGCAAGGUCUACGACUCCUUCACCAUCGACAGGGACUACCGGGACGUCCUCAGCUGCGUGCACGACAGCUGCUUCCCCACCACGCUGGCCACCUAAAAAGCCAUUGCUAUGCUAACUACGAGUACGUACUAUAGUAUCGUCUUGGACUCUUGGUCUUGCAGUUGAGCCUGAUAAGAAACAUGCAUGUGUUACGUCACGAGUGAUCAAUCGGCCGUGGCACUUGGCUAGUGUAGCUUCCAUUGUUUUCGUUUAUUGGCAAUAACAUUGCUCAGUGAAUGGUCAGUAGUAUUUAGUUUUUAGUGUUAGAGAUGGCCUUCUCUGUUUUCUAUAAGAAGUAAAAGAAAUCUUUCACAAAAUGGACGAUACACACCAAACUUUGUCUAGUUGUAUUGAGACGAUCUAGGCAAGACCGCCUACCGCCACCAUCGCCAAACUUCGUCCGAUCAUCUUCUUCAGCUCCGACCGAUCGUCUUCUCCAUCUCGCCACCGCGAUCCGAUAACCCUCUUUGGAGCUGGCAUACCCAGCAACCCCCAAUCCUAAAGCUAGCAACUCCCAAACUUUCAGCGUUGUGAAGAGCAGUGGCAGCGCUGUGAGGUUGGUGCCUGACGGUGGGCCAUUGACGGAAAGGGGUGGAUCUUGGGGGGAGGCUCUAGCCCCCCUACUUCCCAAGACCUCCAUUACAAUCAAAUGAGGAAAAUGAGAAGAAGAGAGGAAAAAGAAGAAAGGGUGAAGAUGGAGGAGGAAGAAGAAGCAAACCGCCCCUAGAUCUUAGACUUGCUUCCACCAUUGCUGGCGAACCUUCUGCAGCGCGUUGAUUCCCAGUUGGUUGCACGACUAGAAGUUUCCUUUAGUCGAGUGCCGUAUGGUUGUAGCUUGUGGGCUUGUGGCAAGGCCACAAUGCAUAGAUGAGGUGAGCGGAUAGGUGGAUGGCUAGCCAAGUGGGCAGGGUUGAGGCUUCACUGUGGGUUAGGGUUGGUUUGCUGGGCUACUCUACUGUUGGGUUUGCUUACUUGUUUAGUCGUUGAUGUUCCUUAUCUUGUUAGUCCGUGAGGAGCUUGUUAUCUUAAUAUUAGCACGGCUCUUUAGUAAAAUGAAUGAGCCGAACCGAGGGGGAGUGGGUAGGUGGAUGGCUAGUCGAGUGGGCCAGGUUGAAGCUUCGCUGUGGGUUAGGGUUGGCUUGCUGGGCUACUCUACUGCUAUAUUUGCUUUGAUGUUCCUCAGCUUGUUAGUCUGUGUCACACCCCAAAAUUCCAAUUUUGGGGAUGUGAGGAAUUACACUAAUAAAAUAAGUAAUUUUCUCAAAUUUAUAAAAUUUUCCAACAAUUAGUUAAUUGCAAGGCACUUAAUUAUAGGAAAAUCUGUAUUUUCUAAAUAAAUAAUCAAUAUAGGUUAUAUAAUUUUGUUUUAUGCAUUCAGGCCGUAUAGUUUGCAUUAGGUUUUCAUUGGAUGAAAAAUUCAUUUCAAAAUCGAAUUCGAUUUCGUUUCUAUUAGAUUCCAGUUUGUUUAAAUCCUAAACAUCUCUUGGGCCAAAACCCUUCCUAUCCAAGGCGCAACCCAGCUCGCCUCCUCUUUAUCUCGCUGACCAGUGGGUCCCGCUCGUCAUUCCUAUCCCCAGCGCCGCGACGCAAAAACCUGCGCCUCGCCCGCACGUCUACGCCCACCUCGGAAGGAUCUGAUCCCUCCGCAGCUCCUCUCUGUCUAUAAAACCAGACAUCGCUAUCCUGCUCGUCCCUUUCGCAUCUACGCAAACCGCUGGCUCUCCAUCACACCAGAGCCGCCGCCGCCGUCAUCUUCUCGGCCGUCCGGUGAGCUGCCGUCGCCGCUUCUGUUCUUCACGCGUACCUGGCCAUCUCGUCCUUCUCUCAUCUCCGUCUCACUCUUUCCAGCGCUGUAGGACCACCAGGAAUCCACGCCAAUGCUAUCUGGACGUGAACCACACCACCACCUGCUACCUCCAAACCUAGAAAAGAGAAGAAAGCUAAAGGGAAGGCAAAGGCAACAGGGAAGAAAAAGAAGAAACAAGUUUAAGUGCCACAUGACGUAUGGACAUCACAACUUGCAAUGAUCAGUAAAUGUGUUUUAAUUUAAUUUGUUUGUGCAUUAAUGAACCAAUGAAUAUGUAUGGUCUAUGCAUAUGUAUUGGUACAGAUUUGUGUUCUUGCUUGCAAUGGCAUAGAAGGGAUAGUAAGAAAAUGUUUCAUCUUUGCUACUAAGGGUAACAUUAUCUUUUCACCAUUCACUUAACAACCAGUUCCGUGAGAAUAAUGGCACAUAAGGGAUGGAGUUAAAUUUUCAAUGGCACUAAAAGAUGGACUAAAUUUUGAUGGCACGUAAGGGAUGAGUUAAAUUUUCAAUGGCAUACAAAGAAUUUGCUCUUAGUAAAGUGAAUGAGCCAAACCGAGCAAGCUAACUAGCCACGUGUUUUUGUCAAGGUUUCUACAAGUUAUAUUGUAGUAUCAUGUAUCAAAGUAAGUACGGUUCUCGAGAAAAAUCUUGAUGAUGAUAGUGCUAUUGAACCUCUUCAUCCACGAAACUUAAUAAAUGAUGAUGUCGUAUACUUCGUACACAUAUACACGUUCGUUUCUGCCAGUUAGGUGGCACGGUCGAUCCAGGUUCAUUGCGUGCUCGUGCCUUAUAUUUUUUACAAUAUAUUCGUGCAUUAUUGAAGCGCAGUGACACAAAAGCUGCAAGUGCAUAUGCAAAGGUGCGCGGCAGCAAAUGCAACAUGACAACGAUCGAAUGAAUCGGCUAACGGCAGGUCGUCAACCAGAAACGGCUGCCCCUUGGAAGCAAAUCGAGCCGAAUCGACCUCUUGUGGACGGUGAUUGAUGAAGACGGAGAAGGGCGCCGUCAUCUUGCUGGACGCAACCGGAACUCGUGCUCCGAGAAGCAACCGACAGGUCGAUGAGCAAUUAUAAAGAGAGGAAAAAACAGGUCGACGAGUGUUCUACGCAUCAUCUCCACUUCACGACCAGUGGCCAAUGAUUUUGAGGACAUGUCUGGUUUAAUUUGUUGUCAAUAUCGACUCCGUGCCAAAAAAUUAUUAUUGAAGUACUUUAUUGCUCAAUUUUUUAGCAUAAAAAUACACGGCAUGUUCGCUUCAGCUUAUAAGCCGACUGAAAAGCUGAAACGGCUGAUUUGUUAUGAGAGAAAAAUACUGUUUGGUGGCUGAUAAACCGGUUAAACAAGCUGAAGCGAACAGGCCCACAAAUGUUUCAUCGUUGAUUAAGAAAAAACGAAUGGAGAAGGUCAUAGCUGCCAUAGAGAAGGUCAUAGCAUAAAAACGAAUGAAAAAAAAAAUCAGUUGCAGCUGGCUGCCUGGAGCUUGUACUUGUCCUCCUCCCAUGGCCAUGCUCAUGUGUAAUGGAGAGAGGAUGCUCUGAGUUAUUUCGAAGAGGCAUGUGCAGCUGUGGAUAGGAAUGGUACACGCCACAAGUUCUGGAGGUUUUCAUCUGAUAGUUUUUUGAGCUACCAGGAAGGCAAGCGUCCAAGGCUCCAAGCAACGCGUCCGAAGUCUGCGUGUUCUGUCGGACGCCCAUGCCUAAGCAUUUCCGAAAAAAGAAAAUUCACGCCGCGCAGGAGAACUAGGUCACGCGAGCAAGAUGGAUAUCGGAACACUGUAGCCACGAAGUACUAUAGCCCUUUUGAAUCUAACGACAACCAUAAUUUGAAGAUGAAGUCCAAAGGAUGCAUUUGAGUAGUCAAAUGGAAAGCAUUUGAUGGGUUGGAUUCCAUCCGAGUGGUAGAGAUUAAAAAGUCAAUUUUAGCCAUAACAUUAUUCUAACUAUGAUCUGAAUAUGGUGGAAUUAUUAAUGCUAAGCAUGAGAAUCAAUUGCCUUGUGUUGGUAUUUUCUCACAUGCGAACGAAGUUGGAGUAUUGCAUUUGGUUUUCUUUAUCAAUACAUCACGUUAUGUUCAAUUGCAUCUUACAUGGAUUUGAAGCAGAUCACAUCCUAUGGCUAUUGCAUAGCGCUAGUACAUAUUGUGCAUUGCCUGAGGAGGGGGUGCAAGUCAUGGUAUUGCAUUCAUAUGAAUCGAUGUAUGGAUUUGAUUGUUGAAUGUGUUAAAGUUGCUUUGGAUGUUAUUAUGAGAAGUGAUACUUCUCAGUAGUGGUUUUAUUACAGUAUAGCUUGUGAAAAUAUGAAGAUAUUGUGGUUAGCAUUACAUUCACGAAGAUGUUACAAAAAUAUAUGUUCUUGUAGAUAUUAAGUGAGAAAAUUAUAUUUCCAAUGAAUUUUUUACUAUCUUUCUUUACAAGUCUGAUGGAAGCUUUAGGAUUUGUAGUUUAUUUUUGACUGAUUACUAUUACUAUUGACUCCAAAUACUGAAACAAUGGGCAGAAGCCCGAUGCACUACACUUUGAUUUUGAUUUUUUGUCCACGUACAGUAACAUAACUUAUUGUUUAUGAACAUUUAUAAGGUUACCGAACAAAUCACAUACUCAAUCUAUAAAGCAUCAGUUUAUUAGGUCCUGUUUGGCGUGACUCUAACCCCAAAACUUCAGUCCGGAGCUAGGUGGAACCAGCCAAAUACGCAAACUCCAUAAAUUUGUGGAGCAACCCAACUCCAUAGAGUUGGUGGAGCUGUAGUUCAUUUUUUGAGUAGCUCUUUUGCAACUCUAGAAAUCACGCAUAUGUAUCUAGACGUGGAGUUGGAGCGUAAUUAUCCACCACUGCCACUCGUUACAAAAACGUUUCGUUUCUUUUAUUUCUCUCCUAUCCGUUCAUCCCUCCCGACUUCUUCUCCGCCGCCCGUCCCCCAUUCUUCCCCGCUGCCGCCACCGGGGAGCUUGCCCCGGCCGCCAUCCCUUCCUCUCAGCUGACGUGCCGCCUUCUCCGACCUCGCGCGCCGCCUCCGCCUAGCCCCGCACGCGGUCUCCUCCCGACCAGGGCGUCGCCUCCAUUCGCCACUGCUCGCGGCUUGUGCCCGGCCAGCUUGCCGCCUGCGCUGGCCUCCGCUCCACCACCGCCGCGUGGCCCCGCAUGGCCUCCUCGCGGCCGGCGCGCCGCCUCCACCAACCCGCGCUCCUCCGCCACUGCGGGGCCCCAUGCGGCCUCGUUGCGGCCGUUGCGCUGCCUCUGCCGGCCCAUGCUCCUUCGCCACCACGCGGUCGACGCGGCACCUUCCUGUUGACGCUCAAUAUUACACACUUUUAACCCUGUUUAUCUUCAAUAAUAACAUGAAUUUAAUACCUAAACUAUUAAUUACACCUAAUAAACCAGUCAUUUUCAUAUAUACAACAUGUUUUGGAGGAUAUUUUGUUUUUGCAGGGAAUUGGACCUAAAAGUAUAUUUUUGGAUAAAACACUAAACGAGCAUCGAACCAGACAAAGAUGGAGGCUAACGGGACUAGGAAGGGCCUAGGCCGAUCGGCCUAGAGGAGCCCAGGCCGAUGGGCUUAGGGUCUUUUGGAGCCUUCUGAUGUCCAUCUUUGGCGAGCAAUCCUCCGAGAUGACUUCAGGGCUAAGUUUGUGAAGAUAUGUCAAGGAUCAAUUCGGGAUCAAAGAGGAAUCAAAGAAGAUCAAGCGGAGAUUUGGAAAGUCAUUGAAGACCAAUCUCAUCCCGAAGCAACCGACGUGCCAGGCCCACAUGCAAGUGAAAAUAAGACUUCAAAGCACCAGAGGAGACUUGGAGACAAAGCAGGACGCAAGGGGCCAAAAGGAAGUCCUAGGCCGAUCAGCCUGGACCCUCCCAGGAUGAUUGACCUGGGGGUUUCCUUCACCCCCUCACCUUCCAAUUCUUGCCACGCGCUCUCUGGACUAUAAAUACCCCGAAAAAUCCAUCGAUCCCCAUAUCCAAGAAGACGUACUCGACGUGAAGCAGUAGAGAAGCAGAAGGACCUUGAGGGAUACCUCUCCAUAGACCCAAGGGCUGUGGAGUUAUCGGGGGCUAACGUAGGCGAACCUAUGCCGGUGUGAUCAACCUGCGAGGAAGAUCACGCUUGAGUUCUAGAGCUAGAAGUCAGGUAGGAUCCCGAUGGUGAUCUUAUGAUGUACAAUCAUUCAUGGUGAAGUAAUAGAUGUGUUCAUGUUCUUAGCGAUCUAAGUAUCUCCUUUGAUGGUUUUAUACUUUAUCGGGUUUGCUUGCUUUUCAAUCUAUGAAUCGAUGAUAGAUUUCCUAGGGUGUUCUUGUGGUCGUGGUGACCAGAUUUGCAUGCCUGAUCUACCGAUGAGUAUGACAUAUUCUUAUGAUCAUGCCCUUAACCUGCUUGCGCUAAUAUAGGCGAUCGUGAUAGGAUCUUUCUUGUGUAAGGUGUAGAUUUAAAGAUGCUUUUUACUAAGAUCAUAUCUAUAUUGCUUUGCUAUCCAUGCUCAGAAUUACAACAUAUGCAUAGUCUAGGUUGCUCUAUCUAGAUUGGUUACCUUUGCUCUAUCUGUUAUCUGUCUAUACAUGCUUAGUAGAUUGGAUCUGAAUCUCUCAUAAACACCAAGUUAAUACUAACAAUGCUAGUUGAAAUAGAUCUUGUGUUAUAAGUUCCACGGAUUGAUAAACCUUGGGGGAAUACUCUGAGGGAAGAGCUACAAUUGAUCCGUACGCUUGCGGUUCACAAAUUGGCUUGCUAACAGUCGCCAACACUUCCCCAGGCCUGCACCCUGCCCACCAGCACCCCCGAACGAGCUCCUUGGUCUCCUGAGGAAGAAGAAGAUACGGAAUGAGAAGAUGACAUGUGGGGCCAUGAUGAGGGUAACAAUGGAAAUUCAUCCUAAAAAUCCUCCUUUUUGGAGAAAGGGGUCCCCUUUUAGCCAAAGAACUCAUUUACACAGCUCCAACUCCACUCAGAGCUCGCUCUAGCUGGAGUUUGGAGAUGGAGCGAAAAAUUGUGGCUAUGGAACCAUGCCAAAUAGGACCUUAGUCAGGUAACUGUAGCUUAAAUUUGGUCGUUUUCCAACUAUACUAGAGUCUGAUUCUGUGUUCAAUUGUAUGACAAAUAAAGCAUUAGUUUCACAUGUAUAGAGAGUAAAAAGGGGAAAAGUCGGUAGAAAUAUAAAGGAGGGAAAUUCUGUUUAAAUGUGCAUGCUAACAAAUUAUGGUGAAUCUUUUUAAUUAAGUACUCUCUGUUUCAAAAUAAGUGCAAAUAAGUGUUCUUUUAUAGUUCAAUUUGUUUUACAAAAGAGUACUGUCCUACUUAAAUGAAUUUAAUUUAAACAAUUUAUAUAUGAACUUCGCCAUAGCAACGAAUGUGGACAUAUUUGCUAGUUAUUCUUAUAAUUGGACAGAGUCACGGAGCCGCAGAGGAGCACAGAGCAACACGCACACACUAUUCAGCGGUGGAGCUAGGACGUCUAGGGUCAUGCCAUCCCAUUCCAUGAGCCAACUGCGCUGGCCGGCUAGCUGAGCAUUCAUGCUACAGUACGGAAAAAAGGGAUCGACACCUAGAGUAGUCAUGGCUACGGUGAAAACGUCAGCAUCACAUCAUCAUCAUGGCUUGCAAGAUCGGAUCCGUUGCACUGACAGCCUCGCGAACGAAUUGAUAAGGAAACAAAAGAAGUCGAGCGGGCGCGAAAUGACUGAGUGAGCUAGGGGAGCCCUACGGGGCUCCAGGCCGGGUCCCACAUGCAACACACGCCGACUAUUUUAUUCUAGCGAUCAGGGAAACCGGCCCAGAUUGCAAAACUUUUUAUAUCUUUAUGCGAGGCUUCUUUAGUUUUGACCAAAUUUAUAGAAAAGAAUUAACAUCUAUAAUAUCAAUAUCAAGUAAAGGCAAUCUAAUUAAUGAUGUAUUUCAUGGUCGAUUUAAUGACACUAAUUUGAUGUUAUAGUUGUUGGGUUUUCUACAAAUCUAGCUAGUCAUGUUAUAGAAGUUUGGUUUAUAUCAAAACUAAAACAUCUUCCAUUUUGAAUUGAAGAUCACAUCUUAUAAUGUGAACCUAUAUAACCUUUUAUUCAUCGAUGGUGAAAAGUCUUACAAAAUUGACAAGCAGCAAAUCUUAAAUAAUGACAUUCAUUUUAAAACAGAGAGUAUAAUAUAUUAGCAAUCUGCAGUUCAAAAGCAAACACAUGUUACAUUGUCUUGUACUCUAGUAGCGGGUGCACGGUACCCUGCACCGGCACGUCACGCGCCACCCCCAAACAAAACGCACCAAGUUGUUUAAGGAUCAGUCAAACAAACAGGUGAUGAAGCAAGAGAGAGAGAGAACAGCAAGCGGACACGGCAAAACAUUAACCAAUCAACACUGGCUGAGCAGAGUUAACAAGUAGUGUACGUACGUGAUAAUCUGAGAAUAUGAUAUGCGCAUAGGCUGCUAAAAACUGCAAAGCCCAAAGCCCAGAGGCUGCUUUGUCCGCCAACGCCACCACCGCGCACGACGGGCGCACGCCGGCGGCACGCAGUUGCGAACGAAACGGUAGCUGCAUGCCGCGCCUGCGCGGUGGCAUGUGCGCCGCAUCGCGAAUCGCUGCGGCAUCCGCGGCCGGCCGCGCGCGGGGGCGGGGCUUGGCAGGGCAGGGAGGCGACGAGACCACUGGCCAGUCACGCGCGCACUCGUCCGUCUCCGGCCGGCCGCUCUCAGUUAUUUUACUGCGCACGGUGGUGGCUCCGGCGACGGCGAGCGAGUGACGCGCAUGUGCUUCCCAGCAGCGUCGGCGUCGCCACCAUGCAUGGCUGGGCCUGUGCGGGGCGUUGCUGCCUGACUCGGCACCGACGACACGUGCGCGCCACCACCUGCUGGGGAUCGACGCUAUCCCUCGCCGUUUUUUUUACUCGUCUUCCUUAGUCCUUAGUCGUUAAGCUUAGCUCGUGGGUAGAGAUCAUGCAUGCAUGGUGAUCCGUGAACAACGAAGAACGCACGCACGGUAACUCCUCUGCGUCUCCCUCAAGUCCCUCUCGUUUCGCUCCUGGACAAAGCACGGGCACGCUGUGCCGGAAUCUUGCACGUAGGGUAAUUACUUGGGCGGCAGCGAUCGGGAUUGGCCGCCGCUGCCGCUGGCCCCUCCCUGGCCCGGCCGGAGGCGCAUGCAACACGCGCCGACUAUUUUAUUCUAGCGUGCAGUGUCUCGCUGAUAGCCCUAGCGCUCCGAGCGGGUCUAUAAGAAGGCCAGGCAUUGCGCCCUUGGCUUCAUCAGCGCCCAGCGCAGCAACACCGUACCAUCACCAAGUGAAGUGGCUAGCUAGGAAGCUACUUACAAUGGCGACGACGGUGGCAGUAGCUCUGGCGGUGGUGGUGCUGGCUGCCGCGGCAGCGGUGACGCUGCCAGGGGCGGCGACCGCAUCGCCGGCGGAAGGGUUCCAGCCGCUGUCCAAGAUCGCCGUGCAUAGAACCACCAUCGAAAUGCAGCCGUCGGCGUACGUGCGGGCGACGCCGGCGCUGCUCGGCGAGCAGGUAUACCACCGGCUCUCGCUAAGCUAGCUGUUUCUUCGUCGUUUCUCUAAGCUUGGGGUUGUAAACAUUUUUCGUCUAGCUAGCUACUAGCAUAAGCAAAGAUCUUAGUCGUUAGGUUUGACACUGAAAGUAGGAUCGGUGUGUGGAACUCGGAUAAAAUGGAAAGUAAGUCAGACUGUGUUAUACUUUUCGAAAAGAAAGAGUCAGACUGUGGCCUUCGAUCCUGAACUCAAUCAUGCAGCUGACGGCACAAGACAGUGACGUGUGGACCCACAUAUUGUGGCAUAUGAUUUUAUUCUUGAAAUUAAGAGACCAUAACUACUGCCUCAAAUCUAUACUGUACUUACUCCAUUCUAAAUUAUUGAUCGAUUUACAUCUAGAUAUAGGAUAUAUAUCUAAGUGCAUAACAAAGUCUAUAAAUCUAAUAAAGUUAAAACGACCUAUAAUUUGGGGAGAAGGGAAUAUAUAUUAAGAAAAAUAAGACACUCUAACAAGAAAUGACCUAUAUAAAAAAGGAUUACAUGUUCAAUUGUUGCCAUCCUCCUCUUCCGGAAAUGUGCAGCUCACCAGAGAUUGAAAUACGCACAAUAGAGGUAGUAGAUGCAAAUUUUCCCAGCAAUUGAGAACCACAAUAACUACUUGUUGCUGACAACAAUAUUUCACAAUUGAUGGAAGAAUAUCGACCGGGGGAUCCACCCCAAAUAACGCAAAUAUGAUCUAGACUACUGCCAAAACAGAUGAUAUUAGGUACCGGAUCUUGCCGUAGAAACCAAAGAAAGAUGUCGAAAAGGCCGUCGCGAUCCUUAGUAUUGAACACCACCAAACUCCUAUGAAAGGACCAGCAAGAAUUGGAGUUUCUACCAAAAGCUCAAAUCUGCUGGAGCCUCGCAUCACUAACUUGUCGUCACCGCUCGUGAAAGUGUCAUCCCUGGUGGGGAAGAACCUGGAGGACUUUAGUCCAAAGCCAAGUCAUCAUCGCCACCUCAUCGAUCUCACCAUGAAAAAACCAAAACCACCCUACAUCCUCGCCAUUGCUGGAGAACAGAAGGGAGCACAAAAAUCCCAGCACCGGAAAGUUGAAAACUUAUAUUUGUAGAACUUGAUCUACUAGCACUACUAUUGCAGAGAUGGGUCGCCACUAUGUAUGGCCACCGGACAGAUCGCUAGAGGCGGGGAGGAAGGAGGGAUAGGGAGCGGCUGCUGGGUUUAUUAGUUUUUUUGAGGCCAGAAUGUUAGCAAUGAGCCAACUCAUUUAAAUUAUUUAUUUUUAUAAUCACAUAUUCAGGUAAAUUAAAAUGUGCUAAUUAAAAAAUAAUUAGCACAGUGUACAUGCUUCUCAAACUUUUUGAGUCCUUGACAGGGAGAAGAUACUGAAUGGGUGACGGUGAAGUACGGCCGGCGAAACCCGUCCGUCGACGACUGGAUCGCCGUUUUUUCUCCAGCUAAUUUCAAGUAAGCUUCAUCGAUCGAUAUAUUAUUCAUCGUCCUUUAGACAUUUCGAACGUAGCAUCAAUUCAGUUGGCUGCUAGCCGACCGGUGGCUGACCGUACGCAUCAUCGUCAUGGUGUUGCAGCUCGGGCACGUGCCCUAACCCUACGAGAUACUCUGGAGAACCGCUGCUCUGCACGGCGCCUAUCAAGGUUAGUUGUUAGUUGUUACUAUGCCAUAAGCAUCAAACUCUAAUCUUCGUGUCAUGCAUUCACUCAUAUCUGAACUUAAUCUUCAUGUAGACGUUUUUAUCUUACUGAUACUUGUCGCUGCAUGAUGGCUGCAGUUUCAGCACGCCAACUUCUCGGCGAACUACAUGUACUGGGGCAAGGGCAGCAUCCGGUUCCAGCUCAUCAACCAGCGCUACGACUUCGCCUUCGCCCUCUUCACCGGCGGCCUCGAAAACGUACGUGAUCGAGCUCAGCUAGCUCCGAUCCCCCAGAAUCGCAGCUUAUCAGACUUCUGACACGCAUCGAUGAUCCAUGCCGCAGCCGAAGCUGAUCGCGGUGUCGGAGCCCAUCUCGUUCAAGAACCCCAAGGCGCCCGUGUUCCCGCGCCUCGCCCAGGGCAAGACCCACGACGAGAUGACGGUGACGUGGACCAGCGGCUACGACAUCAGCGAGGCGUACCCGUUCGUGGAGUGGGCCGCGGUCGGCGGCGGCGGCCAUCCCGUGCGCACGCCGGCGGGGACGCUCACCUUCAACCGCGGCAGCAUGUGCGGCGAGCCGGCGCGCACGGUGGGGUGGAGGGACCCCGGCUUCAUCCACACCGCGUUCAUGAGGGACCUGUGGCCCAACAGGGAGUGAGUACACUGCAAGAAUAAUGCCAUGAGAGAAAUGUUAAUUGUUGUCAGCUCUGCAGUGAUUCAGAAAUUUCUCUUUUGGCUUGUGUGAUCCAGGUACUACUACAAGAUUGGGCACGAGCUCCAGGACGGGUCCGUGGUGUGGGGCAAGCCCUACACGUUCCGUGCUCCGCCGUCGCCGGGGCAGAACUCGCUGCAGCGCGUCAUCAUGUUCGGCGACAUGGGAAAGGUGAGUUUCUGAUGGCUCGUCCCGAUGAUCCCAUUGGUAAUAACACCAAAGAAAACUGCAAGGGUUAACGGGUGACACGUGCAUAAGAUAUGAAUGGUGAUGAUGAAAAACUUGGCAGGCGGAGAGGGACGGAUCGAACGAGUUCGCCAACUACCAGCCGGGGUCGCUGAACACGACGGACACGCUGGUGGAGGAUCUGGACAACUACGACAUCGUCUUCCACAUCGGCGACCUGCCAUACGCCAACGGCUACAUCUCCCAGUGGGACCAGUUCACUGCACAGGUCGCGCCCAUCACCGCCAAGAAGCCCUACAUGAUUGCAAGGUACGGUGCACACUGAUCUGAUUUUAUCUCACCAUCUCAAGGCCACACGCAUAUUCAGAUGACCCUGCAUCUCAAUCUCUGUGUCGUCUCGUGCAGCGGUAACCAUGAGAGAACCUGGACCAACAGCGGCGGGUUCUUCAACGGCAAGGAUUCCGGCGGCGAGUGCGGCGUGCUGGCAGAGACCAUGUACUACUACCCGGCAGAGAACAGAGCCAACUUCUGGUAGCAACCGCAUCUAUGCUGUAGCUUCCAAAAUGAAUCCAUAGUACAGAAGAACACCUGUUCAGAACUUGAAAUUGAUCCAACUUGAAAUCAGGUACAAGGUGGACUACGGCAUGUUCCGGUUCUGCAUCGCCGACUCGGAGCACGACUGGAGGGAGGGCACGGAGCAAUACAAGUUCAUCGAGCACUGCCUCUCGACGGUGGACCGGAAGCACCAGCCAUGGCUCAUCUUCGCGGCGCACCGCGUGCUGGGCUACUCCUCCAACUCCUGGUACGCCAUGGAGGGCUCCUUCGAGGAGCCAGAGGGCCGCGAGAGCCUCCAGAAGCUGUGGCAGAAGUAUCGCGUCGACAUCGCCUUCUUCGGCCACGUCCACAACUACGAGAGGACCUGCCCCCUCUACCAGGUAUAUACAACCUACGCCACACACCUGCCUGGAACCCACGGAAUUCUCCGAUUCUUCGUCAAGAACCCUAAUAACUUAUAUAUAUACAUCUCCUGCAACGAGCAGAGCCAGUGCAUGACCGGCGAGAAGAGCCAUUACUCGGGGACGAUGAAUGGCACCAUCUUCGUGGUGGCCGGCGGUGGCGGCAGCCACCUGUCGGACUACACGACGGCGAUCCCCAAGUGGAGCAUCUUCCGCGACCAGGACUUCGGGUUCGUGAAGCUCACGGCCUUCAACCACUCGUCGCUGCUGUUCGAGUACAAGAAGAGCAGCGACGGCAAGGUCUACGACUCCUUCAC
rnacentral:lncRNA from 1 species